AUUGAACGCUGGCGGCAUGCUUUACACAUGCAAGUCGAACGGCAGCGCGGGCUUCGGCCUGGCGGCGAGUGGCGAACGGGUGAGUAAUGCAUCGGAACGUGCCCAGUCGUGGGGGAUAGCCCGGCGAAAGCCGGAUUAAUACCGCAUACGACCUUAGGGCGAAAGCGGGGGACCGAAAGGCCUCGCGCUAUUGGAGCGGCCGAUGUCGGCUUAGCUAGUUGGCGGGGUAAAGGCUUACCAAGGCGACGAUCAGUAGCUGGUCUGAGAGGACGACCAGCCACACGGGGAGUGAGACACGGCCCAGACUCCUACGGGAGGCAACAGUGGGGAAUUUUGGACGAUGGGGGCAACCCUGAUCCAGCCAUGCCGCGGGAGGGAAGAAGGCCUUCGGGUUGUAAACCGCUUUUGUUCGGGAAGAAGUCCUCUGGGCUAAUACCCCGGGGGGAUGACGGUACCGGAAGAAUAAGCACCGGCUAACUACGUG
rnacentral:rRNA from 1 species